UCAAUUUAAAAUUUUAUAUAUUUAUUUUAUAUCAUAUUUAUGCAGUUAUUUUUAUACCACAUAAAUUGAAAAAUCAAAUAUAAAUUUGUACAGAAAGUAAAGUAUAUCUACAUAUUUUAAUCUGAAAUUUAAUUUAAUAUUUAAUAACAUCGACCACCUGAAUCUACAUAUAAUCUAUUGAUUUCAGAUUUAUUAACAUUGGGACAUACUAUUUGAUUUUAUCAUGCAUUAUCCGAUAAAUAGAUUAACAUUAUAGCCCAAAAAAUAAUUGUAAACAAAGCUCAUUUUCUAACUGUUUAUACCAGGAAAAGUAAAAAAAAAAAACAUGUAUCCAAACUUUCUCAUUAACUUUUUG
rnacentral:lncRNA from 1 species